rnacentral:rRNA from 1 species
AGUGAACGCUGGCGGUAGGCCUAACACAUGCAAGUCGAACGGCAGCACAGUAAGAGCUUGCUCUUACGGGUGGCGGGUGGCGGACGGGUGAGGAAUACAUCGGAAUCUACUUUUUCGUGGGGGAUAACGUAGGGAAACUUACGCUAAUACCGCAUACGACCUACGGGUGAAAGCAGGGGAUCUUCGGACCUUGCGCGAUUGACUGAGCCGAUGUCGGAUUAGCUAGUUGGCGGGGUAAAGGCCCACCAAGGCGACGAUCCGUAGCUGGUCUGAGAGGAUGAUCAGCCACACUGGAACUGAGACACGGUCCAGACUCCUACGGGAGGCAGCAGUGGGGAAUAUUGGACAAUGGGCGCAAGCCUGAUCCAGCCAUACCGCGUGAGUGAAGAAGGCCUUCGGGUUGUAAAGCCCUUUUGUUGGGAAAGAAAAGCAGCAGGUUAAUACCCCGCUGUUCUGACGGUACCCAAAGAAUAAGCACCGGCUAACUUCGUG